rnacentral:rRNA from 1 species
UAAAUCAGUUAUGGUUCACUAGAUCGUAUACAUUACAUGGAUAACUGUGGUAAUUCUAGAGCUAAUACAUGCAACCAGCUCGGCUGCCUUGUGCAGCGAGCGCAGUUAUUAGAACAAGACCAAUCCGGCUUCUGUCGGUGAAUUGGUGAUUCUGAAUAACCGAAGCGGAGCGCAAAGGUCUCGUACCGGCGCCAGAUCUUUCAAGUGUCUGACUUAUCAGCUUGUAGCGAGGUUAUGUUCCUCGCUUGGCGGUACCGGGUGACGGGGAAUCAGGGUCCGAUUCCGGAGAGGGAGCCUGAGAAACGGCUACCACAUCCAAGGAAGGCAGCAGGCGCGCAAAUUACCCACUCCCGGCACGGGGAGGUAGUGACGAAAAAUAACGAUGCGAGGGCUUCUAGCCUUUCGUAAUCGGAAUGGGUACACUUUAAAUCCUUUAACGAGGAUCUAUUGGAGGGCAAGUCUGGUGCCAGCAGCCGCGGUAAUUCCAGCUCCAAUAGCGUAUAUUAAAGUUGCUGCGGUUAAAAAGCUCGUAGUUGGAUCCGGGCAGUCGACGCGUGGUGCGUUUUCAAACGUUACUGCGUGCUCGUCGCCACAAUCCGGCUCUGUCUUUCAUGUUCUUCACUGGACGUGAUUGGCGACCGGGACGUUUACUUUGAAAAAAUUAGAGUGCUUAAAGCAGGCAUAUGGCCUUGCAUAAUGGUGCAUGGAAUAAUGGAAUAGGACCUCGGUUCUAUUUUGUUGGUUUUCGGAGCUCGAGGUAAUGAUUAAGAGGAACAGACGGGGACAUU